AUGGCAGGUGCAGCGCCGGCCGAUGAAGAUGGAUCGCCGAAGAAGACGAAGCAGGGCGGCUUCAAGACAAUGCCCUUCAUACUAGCGAACGAGGUCUGCGACAGGUUCGCGACGGCCGGCUUCAACGCCAACAUGAUCACCUACCUCACGCAGCAGCUGCACCUGCCGCUGGUGGAGGCCUCCAACCUGCUCACCAACUUCAUGGGCACAGCGGCCUUCACCCCGGUCUUCGGCGCCAUCAUUGCCGACUCCUACGCCGGCCGCUUCUGGACCAUCGCCGCUGGCGGCGCCCUGUACCAGCUCGGCAUGCUCGGCCUCGUCGUGUCCGCGCUCGCAACAGCCCUCCGCCCCCCGCCGUGCGCCGCCGCUGCCCUGUCGACGCCCGCGUGCCAGCGCGCGAACGGUGGGCAGCUCGCCGUGCUUUACCUGUCGCUGCUCUUCACCGCGCUCGGGUCCGGCGGCAUCCGGCCGUGCGUGGUGGCGUUCGGCGCGGACCAGUUCGGCGUGGGAGGGAGGCGGCCCGGAGGCGAGCAGAAGUGGAGCUUCUUUAACUUCUACUUCUUCACCAUGGGGCUCGCCGUGCUGCUGGCGCUGACGGUGGUGGUGUACAUCCAGGAGAACGUUGGGUGGGGUUGGGGGUUCGGCAUCCCCGCCAUCGCCAUGUUCGUUUCCGUGCUGUCGUUCGUGGUCGGCUACCCGCUCUACGUCAGGGUGAAGCCCGGGGGAAGUCCCUUCGUGAGGCUGGUUCAGGUCGUGGCCGCGGCGAUCAAGAAGAGGAAGGAGGCCAUGCCGGAGGACGCCGGCAUGCUGUACCAGAACAAGGAGCUGGACGCUCCCAUCGCCGCCGACGGGAGGCUGCUCCACACCAACCAGCUCAGGUUCUUGGAUCGAGCGGCAAUAGUGACGACGACCGAUGCUGUUGACUCCGGCGACGAGCCGGACCUGUGGCGGCUGGCGACGGUGCACCGCGUGGAGGAGCUCAAGUCCAUCGUGCGCAUGCUGCCGCUGUGGGCGGCCAGCAUCACGCUCAUCGCCGCCGCCUCGCACAACUUCACCUUCGCCAUCCAGCAGUCGCGCACCAUGGACCGCCGCCUCACGCCGCGGUUCGAGAUCCCGCCGGCCAGCAUGAUCAUCUUCACCACGCUCACCAUGCUCGUCAGCCUCUCCCUCUACGACCGCGUCUUCGUCCCGCUCGCGCGCCGCUACACCAGCCGGCAGGCGGGGAUCUCCUACUUCCAGCGCAUGGGCGCCGGGCUGGCGGUCUCCGUCCUCGGCGUCCUCGCGGGGGCGCUCGUCGAGGGCAAGCGGCGCAGGGCCGCGGCGGAGCACGGGCUCCUGGACAGCCCCGGCACCACCGUGCCGAUCAGCGUGUUCUGGCUGGUGCCGCAGUACGCGCUCCACGGGGUGAGCGACGCGCUCUCCACGGUGGCGCACAUGGAGUUCCUGUACGACCAGUCGCCGGAGAGCAUGCGCAGCUCCUCGGCGGCGCUGUUCUGGGUCGCCGGCUCGCUCGGGAACUACCUGGGAACGCUGCUCGUCACGGUGGUGCAGAGCGCGAGCGGAGGGGAGUGGCUGCAGGACAACAUCAACCGGGGCAGGCUCGAUUACUACUACUGGCUCGUGACCUUGCUCAUGGCGCUCAACCUUGCGUAUUACAUCGCCUGCUUCCAUUUUUACACCCUGAAGUCCUUCGACGUGGAGGGGAACGGGGCGCAACGGCGGCAAGAUGACGGUGAGGGGCAAAGUCGGAGUGCGGAGCGGGAGACUGAGCUCGAUGCUGGCCGCAUUGGAGCUUCGAAAAAUUGUGCGUAG
rnacentral:rRNA from 1 species